AAUGAACGCUAGCGGUGUGCCUAAUGCAUGCAAGUCGAACGGGAUCCUUUGGAUUCGUCUGAAGGUGAGAGUGGCGAACGGGUGAGUAACACGUAGGUGACCUGCCCCGGAGAGGGGGACAACCACUGGAAACGGUGGCUAAUACCCCAGAUGUUACUGCGCUUAGAAAGCAAUUACUAAAGUUCCGGCGCUCCGGGAGGGGCCUGCGGCCCAUCAGCUUGUUGGUAAGGUAAUGGCUUACCAAGGCUAAGACGGGUAGGGGGCGUGAGAGCGUGACCCCCCACACUGGUACUGAGACACGGACCAGAUACCUGCGGGUAGCAGCAGCAAGGAAUAUUGCCCAAUGGACGAAAGUCUGAGGCAGCAACACCGCGUGGAGGAUGGAAGGCCUU
rnacentral:rRNA from 1 species